rnacentral:rRNA from 1 species
CAAGCGGUGGAGCACGUGGUUUAAUUCGAUGCAACGCGAAGAACCUUACCUGGUCUUGACAUCCCGGAGACCCUUAGGAAACUAGGGGUGCUUCCAUCUGGAAGAAUCUGGAGACAGGUGCUGCAUGGCUGUCGUCAGCUCGUGUCGUGAGAUGUUGGGUUAAGUCCCGCAACGAGCGCAACCCUUGCCUUUAGUUGCCAGCAGUUCGGCUGGGCACUCUAAAGGGACUGCCGGUGUUAAACCGGAGGAAGGUGGGGAUGACGUCAAGUCCUCAUGGCCUUUAUGACCAGGGCUACACACGUACUACAAUGGCCGAUACAAAGGGCAGCGACACUGCGAGGUGAAGCCAAUCCCGUAAAAUCGGUCUCAGUCCGGAUUGGAGUCUGCAACUCGACUCCAUGAAGUUGGAAUCGCUAGUAAUCGUGGAUCAGCAUGCCACGGUGAAUACGUUCCCGGGCCUU